CUUGAAUACUCUUCAGUACCUGCUUCUUGUAAGGAUCUGCUUGUGAUUCCAGUGAUAAGUGGAUCUGUUCGGACAGUCAACUCAUAGGUUUAUGAAGAUGUUGGUGUGGGCAAUAGCCCAGGUUGUAGCCUGUAACUUCAGCAAAUUUGAAGAGAAAUAACAGAGAUGUGUAACAUGAUGGGGCCUCUCUUCUGUGACUUAGGAGCCUGGAAUGAAUGCAGAGGAACAAUAGUCUCAUGAGGAUGUUAUGUUUCUUCUUGUAGUGUUGCCAAAAUAUUCCUUUGCAUGGAGACUCUACAAGGAUGAAGGGCAGAUACAGAGGGACUGGAAAAUAAGGGGGACUGGGGUGCAUGAUAUGAA